GCUGGGCGUGGUGGUGCACGCCUGUAGUCUCAGCUACUUAGGAGGCUGAGGCAGGAGAAUUGCUUGAAACCAGGAGGCCGAGGUUGCAAUGAGACGAGAUUGCUCCACUGCACUCCAGCCUGGGUGACAGAGUGAGACUCUGUCUCAA
ensembl:misc_RNA Metazoa_SRP Metazoan signal recognition particle RNA